CCUACGGGUGGCAGCAGUAGGGAAUCUUGCUCAAUGGACGAAACUCUGAAGCAGCAACGCCGCGUGAGUGAUGAAGGUUUUCGGCUUGUAAACUCCUGUUGUUAGAGAAGAUAGUUACAGUAUCUAACUGGUCUUCACCUGCUAACUCCUUCCCAGCAGCCGCGGUCAUACUGAGGGUGCAAGCGUUAGUCGGAAUGACUGGGCGUAACGAGCGCGGAGGCGGGACAGCAAGUCUGAUGUGAAGUCCUACGGCUCAACCAUAGAACUGCAUCAGAAACUGUUAUACUAGAGUGUGGCAGAGGAAGGUGGAACUCUAGGUGUAGGGGUAAAAUCCGUAGAGAUCAAGAAGAACACCAGUGGCGAAGGCGACUCGCUAGA
rnacentral:rRNA from 1 species